rnacentral:rRNA from 1 species
UUGUUUAUGAGUACAGAUGCAGGUUGAGACGGCAGCACGAUAAACGCUAUGCUUUAUAGCUGACGACCGGCGCACGGGUGCGUAACGCGUAUGCAACCUACCUCCAACUUGAGCAGAGCCCGGAGAAAUCCGGAUUAACACUCCAUAAUAUCUUAUAAGGGCAUCCUUUAAAGAUUAAAAUUUCGAUGGUGAGAGAUGGGCAUGCGUGACAUUAGAUAGUUGGUGAGGUAACGGCUCACCAAUUCAACGAUUUCUAGGGGUUCUGAGAGGAUUAUCCCCCACACUGGUACUGAGACACGGACCAGACUCCUACGGGAGGCGGCAGUGAGGAAUAUUGGUCAAUGGACGCAAGUCUGAACCAGCCAUGCCGCGUGCAGGAUGACGGCCCUAUGGGUUGUAAACUGCUUUUAUAUGGGAAGAAACCUUCGAACGUGUUCGGAGCUGACGGUACCAUAAGAAUAAGCACCGGCUAACUCCGUGCCAGCAGCCGCGGUAAUACGGAGGGUGCAAGCGUUAUCCGGAUUUAUUGGGUUUAAAGGGUGCACAGGCGGAAUAAUAAGUCAGUGGUGAAAUCCCUCGGCUCAACCGAGGAACUGCCAUUGAUACUGUUAAUCUAGAGUUUAGUUGAAGUAGGCGGAAUGUAGCAUGUAGCGGUGAAAUGCAUAGAUAUGCUACAGAACACCGAUUGCGAAGGCAGAUUACUAAGCCAUUAUUGACGCUAAGGGACGAAAGCGGGGGGAGCGAACAGGAUUAGAUACCCUGGUAGUCCACGCUGUAAACGAUGAUCACUCGAUAUUGGCGACAAACUGUCAGUGUCUAAGCGAAAGUGAUAAGUGAUCCACCUGGGGAGUACGAUCGCAAGGUCGAAACUCAAAGGAAUUGACGGGGGCCCGCACAAGCGGUGGAGCAUGUGGUUUAAUUCGAUAAUACGCGAGGAACCUUACCAGGGCUUAAAUGCAGAACGACCGCUUGGGAAACCAGGCUUUCUUCGGACGGUUUGCAAGGUGCUGCAUGGUUGUCGUCAGCUCGUGCCGUGAGGUGUCGGGUUAAGUCCCAUAACGAGCGCAACCCCUAUCUUUAGUUGCUAACAGGUUAAGCUGAGGACUCUAGAGAAACUGCCAGCGUAAGCUGCGAGGAAGGUGGGGAUGACGUCAAAUCAUCAUGGCCCUUACGUCCUGGGCCACACACGUGCUACAAUGGUCGGUACAGAGGGCAGCUACCCCGCGAGGGGAUGCGAAUCUCUAAAGCCGGUCUCAGUUCGGAUCGGAGUCUGCAACUCGACUCCAUGAAGCUGGAAUCGCUAGUAAUCGCGCAUCAGCCAUGGCGCGGUGAAUACGUUCCCGGGCUUUGUACACACCGCCCGUCAAGCCAUGGAAGUUGGGGGUGCCCUAUGUAUAUGUACCGUAACCUGCUAUGGUGCCUA